GAAUUUGUUAACUCAUCCUUAAGAGGAAUUCCUAAUGUUUAUUGUAUUUAUGUAUUACUGAGGUUUUUUUCUUUAUUUUUACUGAACGUUUUACGAAAAGUUUAUAGAAGUUAUUGUUUGUUAGUGUGUUUGUUAGUGUGUUUGUGUAUGUGUUUGUAUCUGCGUUUGUUUGCGUCCAUAACUGAAAAUGUAGUAACUUUUACAAUAGGAUAAUCUCAGAUUGUUUUUGCUUUAUUGUACCGUUUUAGAUUUAGUACACACUAUUUUUAUAUGGCAACGGAUAUCGGUUUGAAAAGAUUUAUAUGUAUAUUUUUACUUGGAACUUCGUUUUAUAUUUGACUGUUUCAUGUGCAUGUGUUAAAUGUUUCGUCGCAUGAAGGUUUUUUUUUUUACAAUAAUCUUUAUUGUUAAUCCAGUAUAAACUUUAUCACAUUGGUAUCUCCGACUAUUCAUUGAUUUACAAUGCAUUGCAUUUUUAAUGGCUUACCGUUAGUUUUUAAUACACGUUAUAGUACAUGUAUAAGCCAAAUGCCAUGUUUUGCAAUUUGUAAAAGUGUGACAGUUUUAUUCGCAAUAAAUGCGAGGAUGAAAUAUUGUUGUAUGAUAGCGCGCUACAAACGGUCAUUCUGCAUAUUUGAGUUUUACAAUCAUUUUCACUUUCACAUGCCAGCGGCAAUAAAAAAAACAGGAAAUUG
rnacentral:misc_RNA from 1 species